rnacentral:rRNA from 1 species
UUACACAAUAAACAUAUGAAGGCUGCACCGCCAACAGGCGGCAAGGCUGGAGUAUUUUAUUACCCUUGUCUUUUGCGCACUUGUUGUUUCCUGGGCGGGUUCGCCCGCCUCCAGGACCACAUGAUAAACCUUUUUUAUGCAGUUGCAAUCAGCGUCAGUACAACAAAUGUAAAUCAUUUACAACUUUCAACAACGGAUCUCUUGGUUCUGGCAUCGAUGAAGAACGCAGCGAAAUGCGAUACGUAGUGUGAAUUGCAGAAUUCAGUGAAUCAUCGAAUCUUUGAACGCACAUUGCGCCCUUUGGUAUUCCAAAGGGCAUGCCUGUUCGAGCGUCAUUUGUACCCUCAAGCUUUGCUUGGUGUUGGGCGUUUUUUGUCUUUGGUUUUGUCCAAAGACUCGCCUUAAAACGAUUGGCAGCCGGCCUACUGGUUUCGCAGCGCAGCACAUUUUUGCGCUUGCAAUCAGCAAAAGAGGACGGCACUCCAUCAAGACUCUAUAUCACUUUUGACCUCGGAUCAGGUAGGGAUACCCGCUGAACUUAAGCAUAUCA